AGUGAACGCUGGCGGUAGGCCUAACACAUGCAAGUCGAACGGCAGCACAGUAAGAGCUUGCUCUUACGGGUGGCGAGUGGCGGACGGGUGAGGAAUACAUCGGAAUCUACUUUUUCGUGGGGGAUAACGUAGGGAAACUUACGCUAAUACCGCAUACGACCUACGGGUGAAAGCAGGGGAUCUUCGGACCUUGCGCGAUUGAAUGAGCCGAUGUCGGAUUAGCUAGUUGGCGGGGUAAAGGCCCACCAAGGCGACGAUCCGUAGCUGGUCUGAGAGGAUGAUCAGCCACACUGGAACUGAGACACGGUCCCGACUCCUAAGGGAGGCGGCAGUGGGGAAUAUUGGACAAUGGGCGCAAGCCUGAUCCAGCCAUACUGCGUGGGUGAAGAAGGCCUUCGGGUUGUAAAGCCCUUUUGUUGGGAAAGAAAAGCAGCAGGUUAAUACCCCGCUGUUCUGACGGUACCCAAAGAAUAAGCACCGGCUAACUUCGUG
rnacentral:rRNA from 1 species